UCUUUAUACUAGGUACAUAAAUAAAUGAUACAUCCAUUCAGUAUAUGUGAUGCAUCAGAAAACAACAAAUCAAAUAAUAAAAGACUUUAAUUAGACAUGAGAAUUAAACAAUAGAAAACAUUGAUCCUAGAUAACAUUCCACAAGUGGCAGAUUUAUGCGUUAUGUCACUCCCUUUCCCAAUCAAGUUUGUAUCUUUCUUAAUACUUGCAAGUAUAUUCAAACACUUGAAUAACAAUAUUACACUUCCCAUUGUUUUGUUGCUGAAAAGGCUAGUUCUCCCAUACUGUAUCAACAGAAGAAAUGGCUUUGGCUAAAAAGAAAACAUGGUUUCCUGAACUUAAAAAGGAAGCAUGGAUGCCAUGCUAAAAUGCUAAUGUCACCUUUAUUAAAAAGCUAAUAAUGAAGUCUAAACUUCCGGGUGAUGUGUCCCAACUAGCAUGAGGAACAGCAACUGGUAAGUUUGGGGCAGCAACUAAGCCUUGUACAGCUGGUUCUUCAAUUGCUUAUUGAAAGCAGGUGAAGCUUGAGAUGUUAGGCUUUAUCCCAUAGCAUAGAACAAACACCUAAGAUUUUUCCCACUGUAUUCAAGACAAUAGUUGGUUUACCUUCCCUUAACCUGAAAAUGGCUUUUCAAUAACUAGCGGCAACACCUUGGCCCACCUUCUCUGGACUCAAUAAUUAAGCAGGGUCAACCCUGUGUAGUACUUGAGAUGGGAGAUCAAUAAGAAAUCCUUGGGCUGUGGGCUAGACUGGGAAGUUGAAAAAAAUCUUGGAAACAGGCAGAGGCAAAUAACCUCUGUACUCUUGCCCAGAAAACUGCAGUGAUGUGUCUACCUACCUAGUCACUAGGAAGGCAUUGUCAUCUUAUUUCCUGGCAAACAGUCAAGAGCCAAUCACUUCCAUGCUGUUGCCACAAAAACUUCUUGAACUCCAAAAACUCCAUGAAGUCAUCAGAGAUGCACAUUAGUCCCAAAAGUAAUAUUACUCAUUCUAACUCUGAGAAGCCUUGUAUCACAUUUCGGCAACUAAGAGGGCCGCAUAUUUUUAUGCACUGCCUUAUCAUCUUCUACUUAUGGGAAUCUAUAAAAUUUCAAAAUACAGUACAGCCCUUCUUAUUAUAGAGAUAAAGGAGUAGGUUUAUCUUCUGACUUUCUUACUGUCUUGAAAUUAUGAACACCUCAAGAAUUGUAGCUGGAUAGGAAAAGGCCAGGCAACCUACAAAUGAGUGCAACAGAACAAGUGGUUCCUGUGUUGGAUGAGAAGUAGGGUCAACCUCUUCUUAGGAGUAUAGAGGUGUAGAUGCUUUUGUUGCCUAUUGCCUUUGGAUGUUUUACACCCAUGGCAUUUGACAACAACCCAUGACCAAAAAUAUGUAAUCCUGGCAAUCUGUCAACAACGUCUUAGGUGCAACAGUAUAGUAUUUGCUAUAUUACAGUGCUCUGAAAGGUUAUCCAGUCCAAAUAAGAGCUAAGGAUAAAGGACCAAAAGAAGGAGAGCUGGGCCUUGGAAUGAUCAUCUACAAUAACUGACAGCUGGACAGCAGCAGACUGUACAUGUACAAAUCACCUGAUAGAUUGCAUCUUUACUUAAAUAGCAAUAUUCUAUUGCCUAAAUUUGCACUUAAGCAUAGAUCUGAACAUUUGCAAUUUGCUGGGUAAAUCUAUUUUAAGAAGGUGAGUUUGUGUGUUUGUUUUUGGAGGAAGAGGUGGUAGGGAUUAUACUUAAAUGGCCCAGCGCAAGCAUAUAAUCCAAUCAUAGAAGUAGGGCUGCAAUUCUGUCCAUUCCAGAUCUAGGAAUACUUCUCAUGCAUUUCCAAGCACUGGAGAACGGUCCAUGCUGGCAAACUGAGGACUUUCCUCCCACUUCUCUUAUUUGACAUACUGCAUGGAAGUUAAGAAAGAGCCAGUACCUGGCGUUGUGCUGUUGGACGUAAGGCCAGAGAGAUCUAGGUUCACGUGCCCCUUCAGUGGGUGACUUUGGGCCAGCGCCCUUCUUUUAGUCCAAUCUGCCUUACAGGAUUGUUGCUGGAAUAAACUUGGAGAUGCAAGUGUCACACAACAUGUCUUAUUCUCUUUGACAUAAGGCAAGACCUAAAUAUAACAAAUAAAUUAAAAUGUAAAAUACAAGUGUGACAGUUAAAACUGUUCAUACAUUGCAGUAAAACAUAGUAGGAAAAGCUGAAUCACAUCUCAUGACCAUGAAAGAGCCAAGGGCUUUAUGUUUUCUCACCAGCUAUGCAAAAUUCAGGUGGGAAGAGGGAAAGAUGGGGUAGCAAUGGCCAGACUCCCCACCUUCCUUGGGCAGGUUCUUUGCAGUACUUGAAGAGAGCAAGUUUAUAAACAGGUGCAAUAUUUUGUUUCAGUCUGCUUUUAAUCUGCUUUUAUCCUUUUACUGAAUUGUGACCAUAAACCACUUCACAAUUGGGAAGAAGCCGUAUAGAAACACCUUGGUAAGUAAGUAAAUAAGUAAACGAAGCCAGAGCUGUAUCACAGCCCCGGUGUGCAAGCAACUCACAAUCCAAGCCAUUUUUAACUGCUUAGAAGUGGGGUCAGAGUUUUGCACCGUGGGUUAGCCGCCCCAAGAAGCCGGCAGGAGCGCGCGUCGACCUUUGCCCCCUCCUGCAGCGGCAGGUGGCGAUUCCUCGUUGUACGGCCAAGAUUCUCACGCGGUUUCACCAAGAUGUAUUCGUGGGUGCGCGAAGAGAAGCCCUUCAGGGAUGCUCUGCUAUUCCUCGUUAAAGCCAGCGGCUUUUUUAAGAGCUGGGCAAGCACGGAGAGCUCGCGUGCCUGUCCGUUUCCUUGGCCAACUUCCCCAAGUCCACCCCACUGCGGAUCUUAUACUUGGGUGAAAUCGAGCGGCGGACCAGGCGUUGCAACGAGGAGCGCGUUCCCGAUUUGCUUCAUUCAUUCGAAAAGCACGAACGGGACUUCGCGGUUAAGGUGAGCAUUUCGUCUUCCAGCGCGGAGCGGAAACUUGCGGCGGUAGGUCAGCGGCUUGCGACCGCCUCGGGCUUCCUGGGCAGAGGAGGGAAGCCGUCGCUUCCCCGCCCCUUAUGCCGCACGCAGCGCCUCCGCAGUCUGAGCGUUUUCCCCAUCCUUCUGCACGCGCUGCGUUUGUAGUCGGCGCCUCAGUCUCCGCGCCGCUUCUCACCCUCCCUCCUCCCCGCCUUUUUGGUUACUAAAAAUGCAUCGGAAGCUAACCGGGGUCCCCGGCGAUUCCUGAGAAGGGAGCUCCGAGUUCUCUUCCUUCAGGCUGCAGAAUCACCUCGCUGCAGAUGCUGGUGUGGAUUGUUUCUUUUUUUCCCUUUGCCCGCCCUGCAAGGAGUUUGCAUGUCUUGAGGAUGCCGGACAUGAGUCGCCGUAGCCUCCCCGCCCUGCGCAGCGACGCCGCCUCGCCGUUUUCUCCUAUGUCUCUCUCAGCUAAGAAAGAAAGGAGAGAGAAAUGCCAGCGACGCUCAGAGCCUCGGAAAGCGGAUCUCCCUGGGUCUCCCCGCAGUUUAUGGCGAGUCGAGCUAAAUUCGUGAGCCUCUUCAGAUGGUGCCGGAGUGCAGCUUAUCUUUUCACUAGAAAGGCUAGGUCGGACUAACGGCCGGCCGUGCCUUGGGGAGAUCUUUCUGCAGCGCCCCAUUCCCAUCAUUUCCUUUAAAAUACAUGAACCAUCUGAGAAGGAAGAACUCGCUAAAUAGGAAAAACAAUAUUCCCCAGUAGGUUGACCUUCUUUAAAAUAUUCCUGGCACUGCGGCAUUGCAGAAGCAUCAGCGGUGGCUUUCUGGGCUCAGUCUGAGCAGCAGCAGCACACCUGAGCAGCGCCCCUGCGUGAGAUCAUGAUAGGCAGUGGCUGGGGACAGAGCUGUGUCUGCUCUUGAUCCUGUACUACGUCCUGUAAAAAAGCAACAAAGCCAUGGGGAUUUUUUCCCCUGUCAGUUACUGAGGCUCUGGAACUGGGCUGGCUGCAGAAGGACGUUUACAACAGCAGGGUGGGGCUACAGGUCAGUCGAGAAACCCUACUAAGUUCUCAAACCACUGUCUCUAGCGACCAGUCCAGCUAGCCAAGGAGUGAGCAUACAGCACCAUCCGUUUCACUUGUGCUAUCCAUUUGGGAACACGAAGCACCGCUGAAGGAAGACCACGGCAACGAGCUAAGGAGAAUGCUUUUCGAUGACUGGGGAGCUCAAGCUGCGCUAGAUAUCUAGCAGCAGUGACAGUAAACUUGCUGCAUGGCAGAGAUAAAAAGGAUGGAACCUUCCCUAAAUCUGCUUGUUGUUCUGUAUCCUCUGUCCUUUGCUUUAUGGCCAUUCUUGCCUGCUCAUAUUCCAUCACUAGAAUCCCAGCCAUAGAAUAGCCUAACUCAGAGAGGUUGAGUUCGAUGUCCUUUUUCCACAAGGAUUGAAAUUUAUCCUGAAGGAUAAGUGGAGCUAGGCCCUGCAGGUAGUACUUUAUUUUUAGCCAAAAAUUCAGUGAAGCUAGGCACACUUUCAACUCGACCUUUAUUGUGCCUGUUUCCAAGCGUGGUUGUGCAUUAGGGAUGCAUCUGGGCAUUUGCAGAACUGCCCUAAUGAAUUUAGAUUGUACUCUUUUCAAGUAUGUCACACUUGAAGCUGGAGAGCCAACGACAGACCUAUAGAGAAGUUGGGCUAGCGCCUUUGCCUGGAAAGGUUUGAGAGCUGCUGGGACAAAAUACCCCCCUUUACUUUGAAAAAAUUUUAAAAUGGCAUUGGCGGAAUGAAGACCUAAAUCAGCCGCAUAUUUGCAAUGAGCUCUCCUUGAUCCGGAGGCAUGCAUGAUUACACCUAAAUAUUUAAAACUAUUCACUUGUUCUAUUCUAUGACCGUUAAUAGUCCAGAAGUGUUGUUUUGAUCUUUUAGAAAAGGCCAUAAUCUUUGUUUUCUGAUAGUUUAUAUCUCGAAGAUUGUUUGCACAGUAUUGGACCAGAGU